GAGCCUGUAGCUCAAUGGUAAGAGCGCGUUCCUUAUAAGUGCGUGACGACGGUUCGACUCCGUCCAGGCUCA
rnacentral:tRNA from 1 species